GGGAGCCAAUGGAGCUGUUUAAGAACAGGUGUUAUAUGUUCAGUGGAUCUAGUUCUGGAAAUAAUACGAGCAGCUGUAUUUUGAACCAACUGCAGUUUAUGGAGGGAUUUAUGAAGUAGACCAUAGAGAAGAGAGUUACAGUAAUCCAGACGAGAUGUGACAAGAGCAUUGACAAGUAU